GAUGAACGCUGGCGGCGUGCCUAAUACAUGCAAGUCGAGCGAACAGACGAGGAGCUUGCUCCUCUGACGUUAGCGGCGGACGGGUGAGUAACACGUGGAUAACCUACCUAUAAGACUGGGAUAACUUCGGGAAACCGGAGCUAAUACCGGAUAAUAUAUUGAACCGCAUGGUUCAAUAGUGAAAGACGGUUUUGCUGUCACUUAUAGAUGGAUCCGCGCCGCAUUAGCUAGUUGGUAAGGUAACGGCUUACCAAGGCAACGAUGCGUAGCCGACCUGAGAGGGUGAUCCGCCACACUGGAACUGAGACACGGUCCAGACUCCUACGGGAGGCAGCAGUAGGGAAUCUUCCGCAAUGGGCGAAAGCUUGACGGAGCAACGCCGCGUGAGUGAUGAAGGUCUUCGGAUCGUAAAACUCUGUUAUUAGGGAAGAACAAAUGUGUAAGUAACUAUGCACGUCUUGACGGUACCUAAUCAGAAAGCCACGGCUAACUACGUG
rnacentral:rRNA from 1 species